AACCAAAAAAAAAAAAAAAAAAAAAAGAAACAAGAGUAAUGGUUUUUAGAAUUUCUACAUCGACUGAAGAAAUACAGAGACACUUGAAGUGAAUGCAGGAAACUCAAUAAUGGCUGUCUGAUCAUGCAUGGGAAGGACUGGACAUUACUGGGGCAUAUAUGGAACAUUGGAAGUUCAGAGGUGUAAACUAAGAGUCACUGUUGUAAAGGCCAAAAUGUGGAGAUUGUAGUGAAGUUAAUUUAUUUGAUAGUAACUGUAAUAUAUUUCCUUAAUAAUGGAUGCUGUGAGGAACCCAAAAUAUAUAUCUUCAUGUUAAAUUAUAUACCAAUGAAGUAAUCGGAUAUUUGCCGUUCUUCUGUGGGAGAGUUGACACUUUAUUAUUUCCCUAGAUUUUUGUAAGAGUGUCAAAGAUUUCUUCUGGAUGUGACAACCUUUACAUCAGAUCAAAGAAUAUCCAUGUCAGAUUUAAAAAUCUGAGUCUGGGAUUAUGGGUUCAGACAGUGAUCUGGAACUCACACUGUGAAUCAAUCACUAGGAGGAGUUAAUGAGAACUCAUUUGCAUGACUAACCCCUUUUCUGAGAGGCCCUGGAGAUGAGAUACUGAGACAGACCAGAUAGAAGGCCCUGGUGUAAGGAGAAGCUGUGCUGUGCCUACCAUGGCUUGGACUCCUCUCACCUUCAUGAUUCUAUCUUACUGUACAGGUUCCUUUUCUCAGUCUAUGCUGACACAACCACCCUCUAUCUCUGAGGCUCUUGGAUCAACAGCCAGACUCACCUGCACCCUGAGGAGUGGCAUCAGUGUUGCUGGUAAAUACAUUUACUGGUACAAGCAGAUGCAGGGGAACUCACCUCGGUUUUUCCUGUGCUACUACUCAGACUCAGACAAGAAGCUGGGGCCUGGAGUCACCAAUAGAGUCUCUGGAUCCAAAGAUACCUCCCAAAAUGCUGCAAAUUUGCACAUCUCUGAGCUACAAGCAGAGGAUGAGGCUGACUAUUACUAUGCCAUCUGGGAAAGUAAUGUGUCUAACAGUGAUACAGGCAGAUGGGGAAGUAAGGCAUAAAUUCUAGCUUGUGAUAAAAAAAAUCAGAACUAUUUCUUCAUUACCUUGCAAUAUUUGUACACUAUUAAAGAAAAAGAUAAUGAAAAAGUU